CUAGCCUGCUGGCCGGCAUCAGCCCGAUUGAAGUUGAAGUCUACAGUGAUGAUGCGUACAUAUACUUCAUCCAGGAAUACAGGCAGUGGCGUGGAUCAUGCAAACCCCGUGCUGAAGAGUCACUCCUCCAUCGUCUACGAAUGAAUGUUGCACGCACACCCUCACUCCUGUAUAAAAUGCGCCUGACGAACUCCCCCAAUUGCACAACUUGUUGUGUGGAAGCCGACAUUGAGCACUAUCUAUUAUCCUGCAACCGGUAUCUCUCUCAACGACUCGUCCUCCAACGCCACUUGCGACAACUUGGUUACCCCAAAGCCUCUUUGGCCACUCUGCUCGGCCCAGUCCUGCACAACCAGGGAGCGGUUACGACUGCCCUCUUGAGCUUUCUUGAUGCCUCCGGCCUCUCGACCAGCCUCUAAGGCCUCCUUUUGUGUGUGUGUGUGUCUCUGUGUGUGUGUGGAUUUUCUACUUUUUUUUUUAGGAAUAGCAAGUCAACCUACGCCUGACUAACCUUUCCUCCCUUUUUUGUCAAUAAACAUAUCCCCAUCCUCA